CCUACGGGAGGCAGCAGUGGGGGAUAUUGCACAAUGGGGGAAACCCUGAUGCAGCGACGCCGCGUGUGGGAAGACGGUCCUCUGGAUUGUAAACCACUGUCCCCAGGGACGAAGAUGACGGUACCUGGGGAGGAAGCUCCGGCUAACUACGUGCCAGCAGCCGCGGUAAUACGUAGGGAGCGAGCGUUGUCCGGAAUUACUGGGUGGAAAGGGGGCGUAGGCGGGACUGCAAGUUGGGUGUCAAAUCUACCGGCUCAACCGGUAGCCGCACUCAAAACUGCAGUUCUUGAGUGAAGUAGAGGCAGGCGGAAUUCCUAGUGUAGCGGUGAAAUGCGUAGAUAUUAGGAGGAACACCAGUGGCGAAGGCGGCCUGCUGGGCUUUUACUGACGCUGAGGCUCGAAAGUGUGGGGAGCAAACAGGAUUAGAUACCCCAGUAGUC
rnacentral:rRNA from 1 species